ensembl:lncRNA
AUGAAGACUGUGUUUGUGCUUCUCGCUAUUGCUGUUACAUACACCUGUGGCGCUCCCUUUAAACAGUUGAAGGAGUUGAAGGCACAAGUAGACGAGAUCCUUAAAAAAUUGCCCACGGAGCAGCUAGAUUCUAUCUUUGUGAUGGAAAUUGAAAAGAAGGUUUUCAGUGAUUGUGAGUCGGAGUUUUUCUGUCAAGUUGAGAAAGUACUGUCUGGAAACAACAAGUUGUCCCAACUCUCUGAGUUUCAGAAAGAUCAAGGCUUGCUAAGACAUUUGAGUGCAUACAACCAGAAACAUGUGAAAAACUGCAGCGUGGUGUCCAGAGGGGAUGAAAUCACCCUGCAUUUGUUCCUCCAGCACCUGAACAAAUGUAUCCAGAAAAAAACCUCACAGGACAAAUGACCUGAGCUCUUCUCUUCUCAACAAAUUUUCUGUUCUAAUUUAUGAAAGAAGAUAUUUAUAUUUUCUUGAAAACCCCUAAAACCAUUGCAUUUUAUUUAUUUUUUGUUCUUCUAUGACAACUAUUUUCCACUAUUGGUCUUUGAGUAAAUGUAUUGCAGAAAUAAUGCCAUCACUUUCACAUUGUCAUAUGAGCAGGUUUGAAUUAAAAGCAGAUUAUUAAUAAUGCACUUGUGAUGUGAUUAUUUAGUCUUAUCAACCUUGUCAUUAACAUGCUGCUCUUUACUACUUUCGUAAGCAAUAGCACUUUUAUUUGUGUUCUGCAUCAUGUUUUUACAUCAUCUACUGAUUUGAAGGCAUCCAGCUAUUCCUUUACUAAGAUGAAAGGACCAAAUCUAACAAGUUAGAUAUUGACUAAAACAAUGUAAUAGGCAUAGAUCACACAUAGGUCAAAUAAGAGCUAUUAGGUGCUG